ACAAUUUUAGUAUUAUUGGUUCUCCAGCAUCUUUUCAACUUCUUCUCAAUUACAACAAACAUCCUCAUUCGAUUUUUCUUCAUGUUCUCCUACCGAUCUGGUAUUCUUCUUGUUCUUCUAGUUCUUCCUUAAUUUCCGUCAGCAUUCUUUCUAUUCUCCAUUGAUUUGUGCUAUGUUUCUUCUGCAUUUGGCAAUGAGUAAUAACACUUCUUCAGAUUUUUGGUGGAUUGUUGUCACUUUAUGUAUGAGCAUAUGCUACAAGGGAACAAAGGUUUGAAGUGUAAUGCCCCUAUUCCUCAUGAGAAGUUCUGUGAAUAGAUUCAAACAUCAAAGUGGAGGAAGUUGGAUGUGAAGAAGAAUGAUUUGAAAGAUUAUUGCAAUUUCUGAUUUCUCUCUUGUCUAAGAAUACUCCAUUCUUUUUCUCUCUUCUAUAUAUGAAAUACCCAAAGAGAGUUAUAAACAUAUUGUGUAUUUUUUGAUUUCAUAAUCGACACAAUACAGAUAUAGUUGUUUCAUUAUAUUCUGUUUUGUACUAAAAGAUUGGUGUUGUUGUUUGUAUCUCAUUGUAAAUUUUAUUUUCAUGUCUUAAGUACCUUUAUAGGAGAAAUAUUACAAUAAGAAAGUUUUCAUACGCCUACUAUAAGUAUCUAGUUUUCGAGUGACACAUAUUAUUGCAAACACAUAUUCAAGGUGAAAUUCAUUUUGGUGAUCAAGCAUACAAGGAGAUCGGUGCCAAUCACAAAGGAGGAUACAAAUUUGUUCUUGUGUAAUUUGUAUUAUACUAGUUUUAUAUUACUAACAAUUAUAGAUACAUAAAGAUAUAAUAACAUAGUAUAACUGGUCCUGUUAUAAAAUGUAAAUUAAUUUGAACUGCAAAGUUACAAUUAGUAAUGUUGUAUGUCUCAAGAGAGAUUAUGUUAGUGCGGAGGUUUGUUCUUAUCA